UUUCCAGAGAUGGAUUGGUGCCUUCGGGAACUCUGAGACAGGUGCUGCAUGGCUGUCGUCAGCUCGUGUUGUGAAAUGUUGGGUUAAGUCCCGCAACGAGCGCAACCCUUAUCCUUUGUUGCCAGCGGUCCGGCCGGGAACUCAAAGGAGACUGCCAGUGAUAAACUGGAGGAAGGUGGGGAUGACGUCAAGUCAUCAUGGCCCUUACGAGUAGGGCUACACACGUGCUACAAUGGCGCAUACAAAGAGAAGCGACCUCGCGAGAGCAAGCGGACCUCAUAAAGUGCGUCGUAGUCCGGAUUGGAGUCUGCAACUCGACUCCAUGAAGUCGGAAUCGCUAGUAAUCGUGGAUCAGAAUGCCACGGUGAAUACGUUCCCGGGCCUUGUACACACCGCCCGUCACACCAUGGGAGUGGGUUGCAAAAGAAGUAGGUAGCUUAACCUUCGGGAGGGCGCUUACCACUUUGUGAUUCAUGACUGGGGUGAAGUCGUAACAAGGUAAGCGUAGUGCU
rnacentral:rRNA from 1 species